AUUGAACGCUGGCGGCAGGCCUAACACAUGCAAGUCGAACGGUAGCACAGAGAGCUUGCUCUCGGGUGACGAGUGGCGGACGGGUGAGUAAUGUCUGGGAAACUGCCCGAUGGAGGGGGAUAACUACUGGAAACGGUAGCUAAUACCGCAUAACGUCGCAAGACCAAAGUGGGGGACCUUCGGGCCUCACACCAUCGGAUGUGCCCAGAUGGGAUUAGCUAGUAGGUGGGGUAAUGGCUCACCUAGGCGACGAUCCCUAGCUGGUCUGAGAGGAUGACCAGCCACACUGGAACUGAGACACGGUCCAGACUCCGACGGGAGGCAGGAGUGGGGAAUAUUGCACCAUGGGCGCAAGCCUGAUGCAGCCAUGCCGCGUGUAUGAAGAAGGCCUUAGGGUUGUAAGGUACUUUCAGCGGGGAGGAAGGCGGUGGAGUUAAUAACUUCACCGAUUGACGUUACCCGCAGAAGAAGCACCGGCUAACUCCGUGCCAGCCGCCGCCGUAA
rnacentral:rRNA from 1 species